AUUUGAUGAAGCCAAAAUAGUUUUUCUGAGUUAUGAGCAGAAAUACUUGACCCCAAACGUUGGGCUAUAUAUCAAAUUGAAGCUAUUGAAAAUUGCUAUUUGGUGUGGAAAUUUCAAGACUUCAGCGAAAAGAAAAAUAUUUAAAAAAUACAAAAACAACUGCAAAACGGCAAAUUAUCGGUAAUUAUGUUUGUAGUUUUUCAAUAUUUCCCUUUUAGCUAUAGUCUUGAAAUUUCUACACCAAAUAGCGUUUUUCAAUAGCUUCAAUUUGAUACAUAGCCCAACGUUCAGUGUUGAGUAUUUCUGCUCAUAACUCAGAAAAACUAAAAUGCACUGGCUUCAAUUUCCCCCCCUGAGUUAGCCUUCCAGUUUAUUUAUAGUUCAAUGGGUUGA
rnacentral:lncRNA from 1 species